GGGCAGGAGAGGCCCCUACGUUAGAUUUUUUUAAGUAAUCGAUCAAGAAAGGCUUCUUGGAAAAUGUUUUGGCACUUUUUGCAGUUGAGGGUACUACGAUUUCCAGAGUAGUUGGAAGUUCUCUCCGGCUAAUGUUCGACAACAAUUUGGCUGCCUGCUACAGUUGGAAGGGGCAGAAGCAUAAGAAGGCACUGUGCAAUUCGGAGAUAGUCAAGAUUAUCUUGGGAGUGCUUCGGCUCAGGAUAAGGGAGAUGAACACGAGUUCCUGAACUGAGGGUGGACAGUUUGCUGAUUGUGCUAUGUUAAAUAAAA